rnacentral:rRNA from 1 species
UGCUCUGUGGGAUCAGUGGCGAACGGGUGAGUAACACGUGAGCAACCUGCCCCUGACUCUGGGAUAAGCGCUGGAAACGGCGUCUAAUACUGGAUAUGUGACGUGAUCGCAUGGUCUGCGUCUGGAAAGAAUUUCGGUUGGGGAUGGGCUCGCGGCCUAUCAGCUUGUUGGUGAGGUAAUGGCUCACCAAGGCGUCGACGGGUAGCCGGCCUGAGAGGGUGACCGGCCACACUGGGACUGAGACACGGCCCAGACUCCUACGGGAGGCAGCAGUGGGGAAUAUUGCACAAUGGGCGCAAGCCUGAUGCAGCAACGCCGCGUGAGGGACGACGGCCUUCGGGUUGUAAACCUCUUUUAGCAGGGAAGAAGCGAAAGUGACGGUACCUGCAGAAAAAGCGCCGGCUAACUACGUGCCAGCAGCCGCGGUAAUACGUAGGGCGCAAGCGUUAUCCGGAAUUAUUGGGCGUAAAGAGCUCGUAGGCGGUUUGUCGCGUCUGCUGUGAAAUCCGGAGGCUCAACCUCCGGCCUGCAGUGGGUACGGGCAGACUAGAGUGCGGUAGGGGAGAUUGGAAUUCCUGGUGUAGCGGUGGAAUGCGCAGAUAUCAGGAGGAACACCGAUGGCGAAGGCAGAUCUCUGGGCCGUAACUGACGCUGAGGAGCGAAAGGGUGGGGAGCAAACAGGCUUAGAUACCCUGGUAGUCCACCCCGUAAACGUUGGGAACUAGUUGUG